CAGUAGCCACGGUAAUACGGAGGGUGCAAGCGUUAAUCGGAAUUACUGGGCGUAAAGUGCACGCAGGCGGUCUGACAAGUCAGAUGUGAAAUCCCCGGGCUUAACCUGGGAACUGCAUUUGUGACUGGCAAGCUAGAGUCUGGCAGAGGGGGGUGGAAUUCCGCGUGUAGCAGUGAAAUGCGUAGAUAUGCGGAGGAACACCGAUGGCGAAGGCAGCCCCCUGGGCCAACACUGACGCUCAUGCACGAAAGCGUAGGGAGCAAACAGGAUUAGAUACCCGCGUAGUCCCUGUCUCUUAUAC
rnacentral:rRNA from 1 species